UACGUAGGGCGCAAGCGUUAUCCGGACUUAUUGGGCGUAAAGAGCUCGUAGGCGGUUUGUCGCGUCUGCCGUGAAACCUCAGGGCUUAACCCUGAGCUUGCAGUGGGUACGGGCAGACUAGAGUGCGGUAGGGGAGACUGGAAUUCCUGGUGUAGCGGUGAAAUGCGCAGAUAUCAGGAGGAACACCGGUGGCGAAGGCGGGUCUCUGGGCCGUAACUGACGCUGAGGAGCGAAAGCAUGGGGAGCGAACAGG
rnacentral:rRNA from 1 species